GAGAGAGACAUGCGCGCAUAUCAAUAAGCGGAGGAAAAGAAACUAACAAGGAUUCCCCUAGUAACGGCGAGUGAAGCGGGAAGAGCUCAAAUUUGAAAUCUUAAAGGGUUUCCCUUUACGAAUUGUAGUUUAAAGAAGUGUUUUCUGUUGAGGUUUUGGUAAAAGUUCUUUGGAAUAGGACAUCAUAGAGGGUGAGAAUCCCGUAUUUGACCUUUACUUUCAACUUUGUGAUACACUUUCAAAGAGUCGGAUUGUUUGGGAAUGCAGUCCAAAAUGGGUGGUAAAUUUCAUCUAAAGCUAAAUAUUGGCGAGAGACCGAGUAGCGAACAAGUACCGUGAGGGAAAGAUGAAAAGAACUUUGAAAAGAGAGUUAAACAGUACGUGAAAUUGUCAAAAGGGAAGCGUUUGACACCAGUGUUGUUUUUCUGAAAAUCAAUUAAAGAACUGUUUAUGCUAAGCUGUUUAGACUUUAUCAGCUAAUCUGUUUAGUUUUGAGCUUUUCUUUAAUGCACUUUUCAGUUAACAAGUCAACAUCAAUUUCUUUUGCUGUAAAAAAGCUUGAGGAAGGUGGCUUGAGAUUCGUCUUAAGUGUUUAUAGCCUCUUGCCUAUGCAGUCGGAGAGAUUGAGGUCUGCAGCGUAGAUCCUUCGGGGCUAAAUGCAUUUGUGCUAAGUUAUAGCAUUUUAUAGACAACUUGUUGACUAUGAUUUGUCUUGUAGCUUACUCGCUUAUGUUAUUUUACCUACGCUUAGGAUGUUGACGCAUGAGAUAUACGC
rnacentral:rRNA from 1 species